GUGCAGCAGUCGCGAAAACUCCGCAAUGUCAGAAAUGAUGACGGGGGAAACCCAAGUGCCUUCCUACAAGGAAGGCUUUUCAGGAGUGUAAAUAGCUCUUGGAAUAAGGGCUGGUCAAGACUGGUGCCAGCCUCCGCGGUAACACCAGCAGCUCGAGUGGUAGUCACGAUUAUUGGGCUUAAAGCGUUCGUAGUCGGUUUAGUAAGUUCUCUGUCAAAUCCUGUCACUCAAUGAUAGGAAUGCAGAGAAUACUGCUAGACUUGGAGCCAGGAGGGGUUAGAGGUAUUCUUGGGGUAGGGGUGAAAUCCUAUAAUCCCUAGAGGACCACCAGUGGCGAAGGCGGUCGGCUAGAACGCGCCCGACGGUGAGGGACGAAAGCUGGGGGAGCGAACCGGAUUAGAUACCCGGGUAGUCC
rnacentral:rRNA from 1 species